ACGCUGGCGGCACGCCUAACACAUGCAAGUCGAACGAAGUAGCAAUACUUAGUGGCAGACGGGUGAGUAACAUGUAGGUAUCUGCCCUUUGGCCUGGAAUAACACGAGGAAACUUGUGCUAAUACCGGAUAAGUCUUUACGGAGAAAGCUUAAUGCACCAUUGGAUGAGCCUGCACUUGAUUAGUUUGUUGGUGGGGUAAUGGCCUACCAAGACUGUGAUCAAUAGCUGAUUUGAGAGGAUGAUCAGCCACAUUGGGACUGAGACACGGCCCAAACUCCUACGGGAGGCAGCAGUGGGGAAUCUUGCACAAUGGAGGAAACUCUGAUGCAGCGAUGCCGCGUGAGUGAAGAAGGCCCUUGGGUUGUAAAGCUCUUUCGUCGGGGAAGAAAAUGACUGUACCCGAAUAAGAAGGUCCGGCUAACUUCGUGCCAGCAGCCGCGGUAAUACGAAGGGACCUAGCGUAGUUCGGAAUUACUGGGCUUAAAGAGUUCGUAGGUGGUUGAAAAAGUUGGUGGUGAAAUCCCAGAGCUUAACUCUGGAACUGCCAUCAAAACUUUUCAGCUAGAGUAUGAUAGAGGAAAGCAGAAUUUCUAGUGUAGAGGUGAAAUUCGUAGAUAUUAGAAAGAAUACCAAUUGCGAAGGCAGCUUUCUGGAUCAUUACUGACACUGAGGAACGAAAGCAUGGGUAGCGAAGAGGAUUAGAUACCCUCGUAGUCCAUGCCGUAAACGAUGUGUGUUAGACGUUGGAAAUUUAUUUUCAGUGUCGCAGCGAAAGCGAUAAACACACCGCCUGGGGAGUACGACCGCAAGGUUAAAACUCAAAUGAAUUGACGGGGACCCGCACAAGUAGUGGAGCAUGUGGUUUAAUUCGAAGAUACGCGCAGAACCUUACCAACACUUGACAUGUUCGUCGCGACUCUAAGAGAUUAGAGUUUUCGGUUCGGCCGGACGAAACACAGGUGCUGCAUGGCUGUCGUCAGCUCGUGUCGUGAGAUGUUGGGUUAAGUCCCGCAACGAGCGCAACCCUCACUUUUAGUUGCCAUCAUUAAGUUGGGCACUCUGAAAGAACUGCCAGUGAUAAGCUGGAGGAAGGUGGGGAUGACGUCAAGUCCUCAUGGCCCUUACGUGUUGGGCUACACACGUGCUACAAUGGUAUCUACAACAGGAAGCAAGACGGCGACGUUAAGCAAAUCCUUAAAAGAUACCUCAGUUCGGAUUGCACUCUGCAACUCGAGUGCAUGAAGCUGGAAUUACUAGUAAUCGUGGAUCAGCGUGCCACGGUGAACGCGUUCCCGGGUCUUGUACACACCGCCCGUCACACCAUGGGAGUUGGUUCUACCUUAAGGCAAGGUUUUAAACCCUUGACCACGGUAUAGUCAGCGACUGGGGUG
rnacentral:rRNA from 1 species